GACAGAGGGUGCAAACGUUGUUCGGAAUUACUGGGCGUAAAGCACGUGUAGGCUGCUUGGAAAGUCGGAUGUGAAAUCCCUGGGCUCAACCCAGGAAGUGCACUCGAAACUUCCAAGCUGGAGUUCUGGAGAGGAAGGCGGAAUUCUCGGUGUAGAGGUGAAAUUCGUAGAUAUCGAGAGGAACACCGGUGGCGGAGGCGGCCUUCUGGACAGUGACUGACGCUGAGACGCGAAAGCGUGGGGAGCAAACAGG
rnacentral:rRNA from 1 species